rnacentral:rRNA from 1 species
CCUACGGGUGGCUGCAGUGAGGAAUAUUGGUCAAUGGGCGCAAGCCUGAACCAGCCAUGCCGCGUGCAGGAAGAAUGCCCUAUGGGUUGUAAACUGCUUUUAUUUGGGAAUAAACCCAGGGUCGAGCAUCCUGGCUGAAGGUACCAAAUGAAUAAGCACCGGCUAACUCCGUGCCAGCAGCCGCGGUAAUACGGAGGGUGCAAGCGUUAUCCGGAAUCAUUGGGUUUAAAGGGUCCGCAGGCGGUCUUAUAAGUCAGUGGUGAAAGCCUACAGCU